rnacentral:lncRNA from 1 species
UCUUUCAAUAUUUUAAUUUUAUUAUCUAAUUUUUUAAUUUAUUAAUUUAAGUCAGUCAACGAUACUUUGUAUAAAAUAUACUAACUAAAUCAAUAAAAAUAAACGAUUCAUUCAAAUUUUGAAAUCGAAAUGUCAUUGGCUGACUUAAAUCAAAUUGGAUUGUAAAAUUAAAUUUUUGAAAAAUCAAAUAGUCAAUUUCAAAAUGGUCUAUAGUUCAGUUAAAUUCUACACGUUUUUUUUUAAUAUUAGA